UACGUAGGGUGCAAGCGUUGUCCGGAAUUAUUGGGCGUAAAGAGCUCGUAGGCGGUUUGUCGCGUCUGCUGUGAAAACUGGAGGCUCAACCUCCAGCCUGCAGUGGGUACGGGCAGACUAGAGUGCGGUAGGGGAGACUGGAAUUCCUGGUGUAGCGGUGAAAUGCGCAGAUAUCAGGAGGAACACCGGUGGCGAAGGCGGGUCUCUGGGCCGUAACUGACGCUGAGGAGCGAAAGCGUGGGGAGCAAACAGG
rnacentral:rRNA from 1 species